UAAGGGAAGGAAGUAAUGGCUGUUAACACCACUGAUUACUUCAGGAAAUAACAGGGAAAUUGAAUGCAGGUAAAGGGAAGGAAGUAAUGGCUGUUAACACCACUGAUUACUUAGGGAAAUAACAGGGAAAUUGAAUGCAGGUAAAGGGAAGGAAGUAAUGGCUGUUAACACCACUGAUUACUUAGGGAAAUAACAGGGAAAUUGAAUGCAGGUAAAGGGAAGGAAGUAAUGGCUGUUAACACCACUGAUUACUUAGGGAAAUAACAGGGAAAUUGAAUGCAGGUAAAGGGAAGGAAGUAAUGGCUGUUAACACCACUGAUUACUUAGGGAAAUAACAGGGAAAUUGAAUGCAGGUAAAGGGAAGGAAGUAAUGGCUGUUAACACCACUGAUUACUUCAGGAAAUAACAGGGAAAUUGAAUGCAGGUAAAGGGAAGGAAGUAAUGGCUGUUAACACCACUGAUUACUUAGGGAAAUAACAGGGAAAUUGAAUGCAGGUAAAGGGAAGGAAGUAAUGGCUGUUAACACCACUGAUUACUUAGGGAAAUUGA